rnacentral:lncRNA from 1 species
CUAACAAACGGCUAGCUGGUGACAUUUGCAGCACAGCAAGUUGCAGCCUAAGCAAGAGAGCAAGAAAUUGGAUCUUGCAUUAUAAAUCAUAAUUUUAAUAAUAUGAAUGAAAAGAAAACAAGCAAACAAAAGCUUUUAAAAAUGAGUUUGGGUAAAGCAUAUACACAUUAGAGAAAUAGCUAUUCUGAUCCUGGCACCCGAGUCAGAUAGGUUACUUGUCACAAAUGUAUACACAGUGGGUUCAGGGGAUCUCACACUAAAGCUUCAGUGCCUCUCUCAGAAAUAGCUCAUGCUCCACAGAGAUUUAGGUGGAUUGAUUUUAUAUUAUGUGAGAUCUGUUUCUUGCUGUGCAAAAUGUUACAAUAAUCAGAUUUUCUGUGGCUUGUAUUUUUCUUGAUCUUAUGCUAAGCAUUAUUCUGAGCAACUUUUAGGUUCCACUGUCAUAAUGGGUUUGGUGUCAUAUGGGCCAUAACCUUGCAAUCUGCAUGUUGUGAUGGAGGAAAAUUACAGUGUCUUGCUUGCUGAGGAAAUGCUCUCUUUUAACAAUGAAAAGGUUAUAUAUCCACAAUGACUUCUGGUUUGUGCAUUUUAUUGGGGAUCUGAAGUCAUCACAGUCUCAUGGCAUUAAACCUGCCACAACUCAGCCUCAGAGGCUGGUGAUAGUUUGAAAAACAUGAAGUGAUGGCAUAUACUUGGAUAUAUCACAGUCCAGAACAGAAAAUCUGUCAUUUGGGAAAAUAUAUAAAUUAGAAGAGGUGAUGACUUGAAGACAUGGAGACUUCUACCUAGAUGCUGAAGACACCUGUGAGCUGGAAACUCACUGAGAAGUGACUAAUCUAGUAUUGCUCCAUCAAGGUUGUCUGAGAUCCUAGUCCACUUGUUGUAUGAAUUGCCACUCAUGUUGGCAGUUCAAGGAAAGAAGCUAAGAGCAGAAUUGGAGUAGACAAAGGCAUCCUUUCAGUCCAAAAUAAUGAUCAACAACUCUUGUAAAUUGCUUCUUACUCAGACAUGGAGAUAACGUGGAGAAGGCUGCCCGUGUCUGACAGUUCUAAGGCAGGGGGAAGUGGAAAUGAGGUUGAAGUAUUUGAUCUCCAACGCUGUUAUCAAAUGUUCCAGCGUCACUACUGGAAUCUUUCAUUUUCCUGUUAUUGUUAUCUGGUCUUUUUGGUUUUAUUUCAUUCUCAAGUAUGAACUAGUAGCUCCAAUACACUUAGCAAAGAUUAUUUAAGGGCAAGUGGAACAUACUAGCUGGCUCUGGUUAGUUUCUUUGUUGGGCCACAGUGUUGAACAGACAUGAUUCAUCAAUGAAGGCAGUGCACUCAGAGUUGUUUGGAAUUCUUUAACUUUCAUGUUUUGAUAUAAUGUUAAAAACUGUCCUCCAGAAAAUCUGCUCUUUUUCAGAACUAGAGAACUUGCAGAGGAGCCUGUGAAAUGGUUAAAGAAAUUUAAGUUCCUUGUAUAAAUUCCAUUACAAUAUUCUAGAGAGAAAAUCUUAAAAAUAACAGGAAAAGAAAUGUAUUGGAUAAUUCACCAAUAAGAAUACGCAAUACUGAGAAAACAACAAAGAUAAAGAGUUCUUUGUUUGUUUGUUUGUUUGUUUGUUUGUUUGUGAGGAUCUGAAUCAUACAGAAAUAGUAAUCUGAGAGCAUUGUUUUCUUUUGACAAAUCUUGGUCAAACUUUACUUUCACAUUAAAACCUUGAUAUCAGCAA